UACGAAGGGGGCGAGCGUUGUUCGGAAUUACUGGGCGUAAAGGGCGCGUAGGCGGCGACCCAAGUCAGAUGUGAAAGUCCUGGGCUUAACCUGGGGACUGCAUUUGAUACUGGGUUGCUUGAAUUCGGGAGAGGAUAGCGGAAUUCCCAGUGUAGAGGUGAAAUUCGUAGAUAUUGGGAAGAACACCGGUGGCGAAGGCGGCUAUCUGGACCGACAUUGACGCUGAGGCGCGAAAGCGUGGGGAGCAAAGCAGG
rnacentral:rRNA from 1 species